GGGCGGAUAAGGCGUUCACGCCGCAUCCGCCAGUGGCGCGGUGCAAUUGCCGGAUGCGACGCUUGCCGCGUCUUAUCCAGCC
rfam:Escherichia coli str. K-12 substr. MG1655, complete genome.